rnacentral:rRNA from 1 species
CCUACGGGAGGCAGCAGUAGGGUAUCUUUCACAAUGGGCGAAAGCCUGAUGGAGCAACGCCGCGUGCAGGAUGAAGGCCUUCGGGUUGUAAACUGCUUUUAUAAGCGAGAAAUAUGAUGGUAACUUAUGAAUAAGGAUCGGCUAACUACGUGCCAGCAGCCGCGGUCAUACGUAGGAUCCGAGCAUUAUCCGGAGUGACUGGGUGUAAAGAGUUGCGUAGGUGGCAUAAUAAGUAGCUAGUGAAAUCUGGUGGCUCAACCAUUCAGACUAUUAGCUAAACUGUUAAGCUCGAGACCGUUAGGGGUAACUGGAAUUUCUAGUGUAGGAGUGAAAUCCGUAGAUAUUAGAAGGAACACCAAUAGCGUAGGCAGGUUGCUGGGACGGUUCUGACACUAAGGCACGAAAGCGUAGGGAGCAAACGGGAUUAGAUACCCCAGUAGUC